AUUGAACGCUGGCGGCAGGCCUAACACAUGCAAGUCGAACGGUAACAGGAAGCAGCUUGCUGCUUCGCUGACGAGUGGCGGACGGGUGAGUAAUGUCUGGGAAACUGCCUGAUGGAGGGGGAUAACUACUGGAAACGGUAGCUAAUACCGCAUAACGUCGCAAGACCAAAGAGGGGGACCUUAGGGCCUCUUGCCAUCGGAUGUGCCCAGAUGGGAUUAGCUAGUAGGUGGGGUAACGGCUCACCUAGGCGACGAUCCCUAGCUGGUCUGAGAGGAUGACCAGCCACACUGGAACUGAGACACGGUCCAGACUCCUACGGGAGGCAGCAGUGGGGAAUAUUGCACAAUGGGCGCAAGCCUGAUGCAGCCAUGCCGCGUGUAUGAAGAAGGCCUUCGGGUUGUAAAGUACUUUCAGCGGGGAGGAAGGGAGUAAAGUUAAUACCUUUGCUCAUUGACGUUACCCGCAGAAGAAGGACCGGCUAACUCCGUG
rnacentral:rRNA from 1 species